rnacentral:lncRNA from 1 species
CUAGGUACCAAAAUGUCCACAAUACCCAACUUUAUAUUCAACGUCAAUAUAUGUAUGGGGCUUAAAAUCAAGUCAUUUUGAGUUAUAAAGGAAAAACCACAUUUUGGGGCGGACAUCUUGGAUUUUGGGGCCGCCAUCUUGGAAUUUUGCGUGGCUAACGUUAUUUUUGAAAAGAGUGGGGUUUGAAGAGUAUAUGUACCAAAUUUCAUGCUUGUAUAACAAAGUGAACGAUUGUUUCCUUAUCUGCUCAGCUAAUUGGGAAAACGGGGAAAGUCCCCGAACGUCCGGUACUGGACGGGCUGGCGGCCACCAUCCGGGCCAUGGAAAAUAUCAAUCAGCACCCGUUGCGAUGCUGCCGGUGUUCUCUAUCUUGUUUGAGUAAAAUGUUCCUCGUAACGUCCCUCAACACAACUGGACGACAGAUAUCAGGGCCGCCACAACUCCAACCCCAUGAAGCAGCUCACGCAAUGAAUGGUGCCACCGCUGCAGCCUGAGCUGCUCUGCACACGAAGCACUGUGUCCCUGCUAAGCGAGGAGAGCAGAGCUUUGCCCUGCUGGCGGCGCUCUGUGCUGGGGCGCACAGAUGACCACCUCCCUCCAGCUCUGGAGCGUUUAUCAGCAAUAUCGGCUGCCCAGCAACAGUAAGUUUUAAUGACAGACCGAUGACAACCGGCUCUGCCACCAUUAGUGGUGCUGAGCCAGGCUCCGGAGCUGGUGGGAGGCUGCUCGGCCGGCACCAGCCCUCGACGCAGCACUAGCACCGAAAACAGCAACAACAAAUUCUGUGCUUCUGUAUUGUGUUUCCCUGAAUCAUAUGGGGCUUUCAGUGGCAGGCCUGCUGGGGGGACGGGGGUGAAGCAGGCUCUGAAUUCUUGGUUUCAAAGACUGUAGCUGAGCUGCAGUUACAAAUACGGAAGGGAUGGGGACAAGAUAGGAUGUCUCAAGAUGACGAGGAGCAGGGGAGUCAAGGGGUUUGGCUGUGGGGUACAAGCCAAAGUGAGCCAUUCGUGAUGAAGGGAUAGUAUUGGUCAAUUCCCCUACAGUCCUGCAGCUGCUAGACAGAAUGGAUUUUUUUUUUAGUUCUUUUUGCUCUUCAUGUUGUGUGGAUCGGACUAUAUGACCAUAAAAGCCAUAUAAAUGUGUUUAAUAAUAAUUACAAAUGGUAGAUCAUAGCUUUAAGACAGAUGCAUGCGCUAGCAUAUUUGCUAAACUAGCAUACGUGUUUCUGAAUUUCUGCUUUUCUAAACCAUUUCUCUCUGUCUCCCUUUAUUUUUGGAGGCUUGCCAAAGGAACCCCCCCAAGACACUGCUAAAGUUGAUAGAUACCUGCAUCUCAGAUAUGCUGAGAUAUGCCCCUCACAGAGGGAUGCAGGUCAGUGUUUUGAUUUGUUGAAAAACAUGUUCAUUGCCGUACAAUUUGUGAUAAGAUGUGAGCAUAUUUGCAAAUUUUGAUGCACAUUGAGACUUUUUUCUGUCAUUAGGUAUACUUUUUGAGUAGUAGUAACAUUGCACCAUUGAACGCAUCCUUGUCUGCAGUGUAUCACUUGGCGUAUCAAAUUCUUAUUUCUAGAAUUCAUGCAUUGUAGUUUAUUAUGUAGUUCAGAGUAAAGUUGCGUGGGUUUACUCACUUAAUUUAGCAUUUGUAUAGCGCUCAUCAUUUGUAUAGCACUGUUCUCAUCACUAAUGCACAGAUAAAGUAGUUGUGGGACUACACUGCUCUGGUUUCUAACAUUAUGUCAAGAUAAAAUUUUAAUGUUUGAUUUAUUUACCCGCCUAGCAAAAAGGUUGCAACCUCGUGUUUUCAGGUUCUUCUCCCUCAUGAGUUUUCUCUACCUGGGGAAAGAUAUGCCGAUGUUGUCUCUUGUUUUAACCCGGUCAGAUUUCCUUUUUCUUUUCUUUGGUGGUUUUCUUUCAAGCUCAUAGGUCAAAUCCUGUCAAUGGUCUUUGAUUUCAAGGAAAAGGGAAACUAUAUCAAAUGCAGGGAGCUUUUAUCAGCAUAGUUGCUGGCGUCUGCCUCUCCUCCCCACCACCGACAACACAUCAUUAUCACUAGAUUAACUUACUUUUUUGUAUAUACUUUAUUUGGAUAUUAUUGGUUAUUUGCAGUAAUUACUGAAUCAGUAAUGAAUCAUUAACAGUUUUUAAAUACUCUUUUUUUUAUUAUGCAUGUGAAUGAGGCAAGUGGACCCAGACCAGACGGUGAUCCUGCAGUGUCGGAGGGGAGCCGCGUAAUCCUGUCAGAAGAAUCUGACACAUAAAUAGCAGGAGUGGAACUGGAGAAAAGAGGAUCAGGACUCCUCAGAACUUUCACAUCCAGAGAAUUUCAUGUUUGGCCGCUGCUCAGUCACACCAGCGACGCGUCCUCCUUAAGGUGCUUCGCAGAUAUUUGUCUAUGAAAACCAACGCAGGCUGCUAACAGAGCAUCAACCCGCUUCGCCUGUUAUUAAAAAUCUUUCUCUCUCCCUCCUUAAUUUUUUAUUUUUUUUUAAGUGUUUAAAUAAAUGAGUGUUGUGAAACAUUUACAUGGGUUCGUGGUCCAAUUCUAUUUUGAAGUAAUUAAUCAGUGAUCCUCGUGACCAGUGUCAGGAAACUUAAAUCUUGAGAUGAAAGGUGAUGUCAUUUCAAUGUUUAAAUACCGUAACAUAACAUUGAUAGAUUUUUCUUUUCAAUGCAUGUUAUCCACUUCUUAAACUGUAUCAUUCUAACACUGCCAGCUGUGAACAUUUGGGUAUAAUGUUGUAGCAAUGUUUUCAUUUGUGACAUUGUAACAAAGUCAUCACAAAAUAUUCUUAGACUGUUUUUAUAGAACAUUCACCCAGAACAUUCUGGGAACUUAAAGAAAACUUCCACCAAAAAAAUAUAAUUAUAACAUCAGGGUAUAAUGUAGCAAUAUUUUAAUUUGUUACAUUGUAAGAACAUUAUCACAAACCAUUGUUAGGAUGUUUAUAGAGAACAUUCUCCUAGAACAUUCUGGGAACUUUAAACAAAACAUCAUUAAAACAUUACAGUGUAAUAUUCUAGUACUAAUUUCAUUCAACAUUUUAAGAAGGCUAUCACAAAAUGUUGUUAGAAUGUCAUCAGAAAAUGUUCUUCAAGAACAUUCUGGGAACCCAAAGAAAACUCCCCCAUAAAGACAUCAUAAAAACAUGAGGGUAUGAUAUUAGGG